UUAUGAUGUUUUUUUGCAGAUUUUGCGGUAUUUUUAUUCAAUUUUCGCGAAGAAUUCGCUAUUUAUCGAAAUAUCAUCCAUUUCGAGACACAUUUUUCCAUUUCGAAUGAAUAUUGUCGUUCACCGAAUCCAUAAAUGUCAUCCGAUACCAAGCAGGCUUUACGGAAUUUGAAAUUUCCAUGCUGCGUUAAAGAAGCAUUAUCUCGUAUAGAACAACUGUGCACUUCAAAUGCAGUCCCAAACGUUGGUCGAAUACAGAACUGCAACUUAGCCAUGGAAUUGAUCACCGAAUUCGUAUUCUGCGAAAUAGAUCGAAGAGGAGAGAAGAAAAAAAAAUUGAAUCACAUACAAGAGAUGCAACUCGUCGAAGUUCUCAGCGAUUAUUUUGCAUUCAGUCAUAACAUUACUGCGGGCGGAGAUGCAGCUCGAAACACCGUAUUUAUGUCAUUAUUUCCUCAUACUUGCGUCGAACGUUGUCAAUUACUCGUGAAAUUAGUAUCUAUAGCCGUAUGCACCAAUAAUAUACCUCUGUUGUCAGCUACAGGUGUUUUGAUGCAGCAGAUCGGAUGUACUUCCAAGUUCAGCGUAGAGUUAGCUAAAGGAUUGAUUAACGAUUACUUUAUCCUGUUACCGAAUGCCAGCAACAAGUUGAGAGAUUUGCCGUGUAAAGCUCCCUUAUUCACUGCUAAUUUUCUAACCGCGUUAUCUGAAAUAUAUUUCGAUAUUGAUCCAGAGAGUCUUGUAGAAUGUCCAACAGCUGUACCUUCGUCAUCGUUGCUCAAUAUAAUUACCGAAUGGGUUUCGGACAAUAAUUCGUUAUGUUAUGCAGCCUUGACUAAUAAUUUAUUGUUAUCUCUUCCUAUGGGAGGCAUCCCGAUGCCUGCGGUUACCCCUUUCGUUGGUCUUUUCAAAUGGUGUGUGUUGGCUCCAUUGUACGUUGAUGAACACGAUUUAAUUUAUUCUAAAUUGCAUUUAGCUUUGUUGGAAAGUUUACUCGAAGCUGAAGUGUUUUGUCCAUCUCCUAGUCAACGUAACGUUAUAUCUGUUCAACAUGUUACCGCUUUGGUGAAGCUUUGUAAUAAUAAAAUCGAAAGAAUUCUGCAAAGCCCUAAAAUUGAUUCAAAUGGGCUACGAAGUCGAGUUCAAUUAUGUCUGGAAAGAUUAGCUCAAUUCGUUCAAGUCGCUUUACAUACAAAUUCCAUUUAUGGCAGCAAACAAGAUUUGAUCGCCAGAUUAAAGACCUUACCAAAAAAUCGUCUGCUCAGAAUCACGUUAUCGAGGCAUAAAGAAAUAAUAUGACCAAAUGCUCUCGCAGAUCUGUCUGAAAAUUGCGUUUAAAUAAUAAUCUUCGAUAUCGCGAUACCUUACGUAUCGGUCUAUAAAAAAAAGGAAAAUGGUAAAUUCGUAGACAGAAAUCUGUAUAUUGGAAAAAUUUACAAUUAAGAAUAUUCAAUGAUGAAAAUAAAAUUUAGAAAUCAUGCGAGCCCCAAUGAAUCUGAAACAGAAUAAUACGGCGGAUUAGACGACGUGUAUCGAAGCAAAAAAACACAGGUACGUUGAUCGACUUACAUUUUGCGGUCUUCCUUUGAUUUUUCUCUCAAUCAACGCUUGCAAAGCUUCGGAUCGAACGGACAACGAAUCCAUUUUCUCGAUAAGUUGCUGAUAAGGUGACGUAGGUUGAGUACCCAUAACAACGUGACCCAGUUUCGAAUCAAUUUUAGCGUCCAAACGAGCAUUCCUGAUCAGGUUGACAAUCCAGCAUUCGGCUUCUUCGGAUUUCAUGUUCAAUUUUUCAGCCAACAUGCUAAGGAAAAGAAUACACGAAGUUAUAACGUUCAGGCAUUCGAGUUAGAUAGAUCAAGAAGAGUUGAACUCACUUGAUACUGAUACACUGAUGAAUACGACAGAAAGUCUCGAAAAUCAUCAGACGGGCAUUUUCGACGAAUUCGUCUAAACAAGCGAUCAAGAAGAAAUCGUUGAAGAUGACGAUUUGACAUUCCGA